rnacentral:lncRNA from 1 species
GUUGGGGUGUUUGGAAGGAGACGAAAGGGAGGGGAGAUGAAAAAUUACAAAUUAGAUAAUUAAGGAAGCCAAAAGGAGCGUGUGCCGAAAUGGGAUCGAGGAGGGUGAACUGUGAAUUCCCUGCGCCGCGCCAAUUUAGUGGGUAGGAAAAGGGAGUUAGAAGCAAAGAGGAAAAAAUAAACAGGCAACGAACACAUAACGCAGCCAGCCCAGCCUCACGCUAGUGUCCGCUCAGGAGAUUAGCAGAGGGGAAGCGCUGGGGAGUGCAGUGGGCCAGCCUCAGGACUGUAGGGUCCGUUCAGCCCUGGGUGGCCGGCCAGUACAGCUUUGCCCCAGGGACCCAGGAGGACCCAGAGGGUGGCUGAGGGAGGCUGGCCGGGCUCUGGUACGGGUCCUGGCCACUCACAGCUUCGAGCCUGGCCUGGCCACUGUGGAGGCUGUGGGAGGGCAGCCUCCCCACUCUGACAUGCAGGGGUGGGACCGCUGCCCCGGAAGGUGGUGCUGGGCAUAUCUGAUGAGGGUGCGGUGCAGUCGGCGGCUAGAGAGACAUAGGAUGGGAUGACACUGUUACCCGCAGUACCAGUUUUGAGGCUUGACGGUGACAGAAAAGGACGUCUGUGGGGGCCACGGCUGCUGUGGAGGAGCGCUAAAGCUGAUGGGGGUGGCACGCGGUUUAUCAGCAGGACAGUGGUGAUGCUGUGCAGACGGAUUGUGCCCGGGAAGAUGGCGAGGGGGGUGUCAGGAGGGGCAGCCCUGGUGCUGGUGUUGGCAGGUGAUGAGAGUCACAGAAGAGCCAUGGAAGGAGAGAUGAUCUUCCUGCCUUGGCCUCCCAUGGUCCUGGGAUCGCAGGUGUGCGCCCUGUGUCCAGCUUGUGCUUAUGUGUAACCAUCAGCAUAGUGAGGACACAGCACAGUUUCUUCCCCCGCCCGGUGCCUCUGGCUCCCAGCUGUGCCUCGCCCCGCCCCUGCCGCCUGCAACUGUGCGCGUGAUCUCUGCCGCUGUAGACCUGCCUUCCUGAGAACAUCACGCGGAUGGAGUCACACGUCGCCUCCUGUUGAGGAUGGCUUCUCUCGUCAGCAUAACCAUCAGCAGCCACUGCGUUGGGGCACGUCCCAGAAGGGUGUUCCGGGUCUGUUCAUCGCUGAGCUCUAUUUCCCGGUACUGGGAGGGAUCCGAACUUGUUAAUUUGCUCACCCGUGCACAGACUUGGGUACUUUCGGAUUUGGAGCUAUUACAGAUAAAGGCUACGAACAUUGGUGUGCAGGUUUUUGACUGUGGUGAGUAUCUCCCGUGGGAUUUCUGGGUCUUGAGGCAAAUGCAUGUCUAACUUGCUAAGAAACUACCAAACCGUCUUCCAGAGUGGCUGAGCCGUUUUGCGUUUCCAUCAUAAUGUGACAGAGUUCCAGGUGCCUUGAGUUCUUGCUAGCACUUAGUACGGUCAGUUUUUUUUUUUUAAUUUUAGCCAUUUUGUUUUGUUGUUUUGUUUUUUGAGACGGAGUCUUGCUCUGUUGCCCAGGCUCGAGUACAGUGGUAUGAUCUCAGCUCACUGCAAUCUCCACCUCCUUGAAUUUUCCUGCCUCAGCCUCUCGAGUAGCUGAGAUUACAGGUAUGCACCACCAUAUCUGGCUAAUUUUUGUAUUUUUAGUAGAGACAGGUUUCCCCUUGUUGGCCAGGCUGAUCUCAAACUCCUGACCUCAGGUGAUCUGCCCACCUUGGCCUCUCAAAGUGCUGGGAUUACAGGUGCACGCCACUACUCCUGUAUUUUAGCCAUUCUAAUAGGUGUGGAAUAGUAUCUCUUUGUGGUUUGAAUUUGUGUUUCCUUCAUUAAGGAAAUGAAUUAUUAUUAUUAAUUAUUCCAAGGAUGUGGAAGAUCUUUCCGUGGGCUUAUUUACCAUCCAAGUAUCCUCUUUCUCGAACUCUGUUGACGUCUUUUGCCCUUUUUCCCCCUUAACUUUUUAUUUCAAAAUAAUGAUAGACUCACAGGAAGUUGCAAAAGUAGUUCACAAAGAGAGUUCACUUAGUUCCACUUCAUCUGCGAACGUCUGUAUUCACCUUCACUCCUGAAGGCUGUUCGCUGGGUAUAGAAUUCCAGACUGCAGUCCUUUCCUUUCAUCUCAAAAAUGUCCCUCUGCUUCCAUCUAGCCUCUGUGGUUUCUGAUGAGACAUCCAAUGUCAUUUGGAGAAUUUUUCCUUUAUAAAUAAUUCAUUACUUUUUUUCUGCUUUCAAGAUUUUUUUUUUCUUUGUCUUUAGUUUUUCGAAGAUUGAUUUGAUGUGUCUGGGAAUAACUCUCUUUGGAUUUGUACUGUUUGGGUUUCACUGGUCUUUUGGGUCUGUAGGAUUCUGUUCUUACCAAAAUUGAGAAAUUUGCAGCCAUUAUUUCUUCAAAUAUUUCUUUCUGUGUUAUACUCUUUUCUUCCCUCCCUGUGGGCCCUGAUUGCAUGAAUGUUAGACCUUCGAUAUCAUUCCACAGGUCCCACGGGUCUUUUACUCUUUCUUUCUCCUGUGGUUCACAUUAGAUACUUUCUUUUCUUUCCUUUUUUUUUUUUUGAGACGGAGUUUUGCUCUUGUUACCCAAGCUGGAGUGCAAUGGCACGAUCUCGGCUCACCGCAACCUCCGCCUCCUGGGUUCAGGCAAUUCUCCUGCCUCAGCCUCCUGAGUAGCUGGGAUUACAGGCACGCGCCACCAUGCCCAGCUAAUUUUUUGUAUUUUUAGUAGAGACGGGGUUUCACCAUGUUGACCAGGAUGGUCUCGAUCUCUUGAUGUUGUGAUCCACCCGCCUCGGCCUCCCAAAGUGCUGGAAUUACAGACUUGAGCCACCGCACCCGGCCACAUUGGAUGCUUUCUAUGGAGCCAUGUUUAUGCUCACUAAUUUCUUCUGUCAUCUCCAUCCUGCUGUUGAGCUCACACCGUAAGUAUUUCUGUUUUGUUGGGCACUUUUCAGUUCCAACGUUUUCAUUUGGUUCUUGUUUCUUUCCUUUCCGCCUCACUGAGCUUUUCUCUGUUUCCAUUUAUUUCAAGAGUGUUUGCCUUUACUUGUUGGAUCAUUUUUAUAAUAGUUGCUUUUAAGUCUUUGUUUGAAUCCUAACAACUGUGCCAUCUUGAGUUGGCUUCUGUUUAUUGUUUUGUUGUAGGCAAAACACAAGUUGUAAUUUUCCUGUCCCUCAUAUGCCAAGUCAUUUUGGAUUGUAUCCUGGAAAAUCUGAAUAUUAUUGUGGAAGGCCUUGGGUCUGGUGUAAAUCCUGUGGAGAUGGAGGUAACUCGGGUUUUAGCAGGCAGUCUCCCGGCUUCCUGGCUGCAAGUUGUUCUUCUUCUUCCACAGGCAGGAGCUGGGCAUGGACU